GGCUGUAGCUCAGUGGCUAAGCACUUGCCUUGCAUGUGUGAGGCACUGGGUUCGAUCCUCAGCACCA
rnacentral:tRNA from 1 species